GUGGGGAAUAUUGGACAAUGGGCGCAAGCCUGAUCCAGCCAUGCCGCGUGAGUGAUGAAGGCCCUAGGGUUGUAAAGCUCUUUUGUGCGGGAAGAUAAUGACGGUACCGCAAGAAUAAGCCCCGGCUAACUUCGUGCCAGCAGCCGCGGUAAUACGAAGGGGGCUAGCGUUGCUCGGAAUCACUGGGCGUAAAGGGUGCGUAGGCGGGUCUUUAAGUCAGGGGUGAAAUCCUGGAGCUCAACUCCAGAACUGCCUUUGAUACUGAGGAUCUUGAGUUCGGGAGAGGUGAGUGGAACUGCGAGUGUAGAGGUGAAAUUCGUAGAUAUUCGCAAGAACACCGGUGGCGAAGGCGGCUCACUGGCCCGAUACUGACGCUGAGGCACGAAAGCGUGGGGA
rnacentral:rRNA from 1 species